UUAAAUCCAAUGAAGGGAAGCAAGUAGAUUAAGUCACUGACUUCAAGAGAGCUGCAGAUGGUGGAAUUGCAGCAGUUACACUUAAUUCGAAUGGGUCCCAAAGGAGCUAGGUGAACUUUAGUAGCUAAAGCCGUGAGCCUUACGUUAUAAAGGCAGGAUAUAAUAGUAUCCGUUGAGGGAAAACAUUAGUUUUCUGAAUUAGGUGGCACCGCGCGCUCGCGCCCUAUAC
rnacentral:ncRNA from 1 species